GUCUUGCAACAUGCCUGGCAGGUGGAGGCGGGAAGGAGUGAGGGUGUGGAGGAUGUGGAGGCCGGGAGAGGCCAAACGUGUUGCUCACAGGGGCCCAGGGCGGCGUGUCUGAGAUGCUUUUCCAGCACACUGAGCGUUCCUUCUUCUUGGCCAAAGCUGGAUUGUCUUCUUUGGUUCCAGACCUGAGUCACACUUUCCCACCGCUGCCCACGAAGCUCAGCAGGGCCAUUUCUACACUGCAGGAACCUGAGACUCUGAGGGAUGCAGACAUCUUUCCCAGUGUCCUGGGCCUGGUCCUGGGUACUGAGCCUGCCUGCUCCUACACAAGUGACCCCAGAGAGGCUGGUGUACCUCAGAACCUCCAGAAAAGGGGCCUGGAAGAGCGAAGCCUAAAAAGGCGCCUAUUGGUCGUGGAUCUCCCUGCACUGUGCAGCUUUCCUGAAGGGCUUAGUGGGGCAUCUGUAGGUGUCCCCUUACCUUAGCAGGAUCUAUGGAAUCUUAACUGGGUGGAAAACCUUGUGUUAACUGGCUUGCUAGCUAUGAUGCUCCCGGCAAGUCAUUGAACCUCUCUGAACCUCAGUUUCUUUGUCUGUAAAAUGGGAACCAGAAUGCUUAUCCUGCCGGACUGUUGAAGGAUGAGGACUAUUACAGUCAGUGACUUAGCGCAGCACCUGGCUCUGCCACAGCUGGAACAUGGGAGCCAUUUGUGUCAUACAGUGUCAUUCAGUCGUCUUUCUGUCGGGGGAGCUGCAGGAGAUCCAUUCCUGCACCCCUUGCUGAGGCCCCUCCUUGUCACAGCCUGUUCCACAGAAAGAGCAGAGUGCUGGUCACUCCUCUCCAUCCUCCUGCAAAGCCGGGGUUCCUGCAGGCCACUGGACGCUUGCCCCUGGUGCGCAAGGCUCAGACACUUGGUGACACCCUCUGCCCUUCAGCUGGCAGCCAUGCCCACUCCCUCGGUUGGCCUGGGCGGGCUGGGCAGGGGAGCUGGCCUCGUGCUGUGGAGGCUGGCCCUGUGCCCUGCUCCUCUGCCAGCUGGGCGGCUGGGCCGGCAGCAGCUUGGAUGGCUCCAAGGCCCGGCGGGGGCCGCUGUGGGCGGCAGCCUCCCUGAGCCCCUCUGUUAGCAUCGGGCCAUCUGGUGCCUCUGUCCCCUUUUGUGUGCUGGAGGGAGAGGCUGGGCGGCAAAGGGGGAGGACAGGGGAUGUCUCAGCUAGCUUUCUUCUGAAUUGAGGAAGGAGGAGUGUGAGAGGAGCGGAGCAGAGCCGGGCAGAGGAGGACGGGAGGAAGGACAGGGGGAGACUGGACGGGCCAUGGUGGGCAGAAAGCCAGAGGCUUGCCUGGGAGAGCUGGAAGGACGGGGGGACAGGCAGGAGGGAGAAAGCCAGAAGAGAGAGCUCUGUGGGGAGGAGAAAGUGAGCCUGAGAGGGAACAAAGUCCUCAGGAGAGUGGGCCGGAGGAGCGGCCCUGUCUGUUCAGGAAAGAGGAAGCGGGAGUGCGUGGGCUGGAGUCCUUCCGGUCCUGUCCAGGCGUAGGUGAAGGAGGGGUGGCCUGGUUGCAGGUGGUAUCCCAGCAGAGCAGCCUGCGUCCCUCUGUCCUGUCCAGCAGCGUGGCUGCCGGGCUGAAGGGCCUCCAGCUGCAGACGGUUGGAGGAUGUGGAGUUAGUCCCCGGGGCUGGGGAGAACAGGUCGCAGUGACAAACAUCCCCUUCGAUGGUGGGUGCAAAGGUGUGCCUUCCUAGGGCUCUGGGGAGAGGCUGUCCUGCGGCAAGUCCUGGCUCCAGUAACAUGGACACGGACACAGCGAGGUUGUGCUGCUUGGUGUUUCUCUGGUGCCUUCAGGCUUGGGUCCCAUUCGGCAUUCACUGGGGUCACAAAGGACCCAAUGGGUGGCUCUUUUCUCCUGGAAGACUACACAGAGUGACCUUGGAUCAGAAGCACCCCUUCCUCUGAAGACCAGAGCUGCUCAGUGUUGAGCUCACCUCCCUCUGGGCUUCUCCAGGCAGGCUCCGCACCCAGGCCUGUACCCUCCCUGAGGUAUGGUGAGCCCCUUGUUGUCCCCAAAUCUGCCCCGCCAUUGGCAGAGGGCCUUAUUGGCAUUUGUCUUCUGGUCCCAUGUGGAAAGUGGGCCUAGUCGCCUUUACUGUCCUUGUGGAAGGACAUCCUCACUAAGUCUGUGCCUGAGGUUCUGGGAGGGCAGCUCGGGCUGAGGAGAGCCGAGUGUGAUUGCUGCAGUGCAUUCAGGUCCAUCAGCAUCAACCAAGUGCUGGGACGUUUUUUCUUCCAUUAUUAAAGUCACUUGAAGAGCAUGGGCUGACAGCUCU